rnacentral:lncRNA from 1 species
CUCAUACUUUUGCGUAAAGUUGCCAUUAUUCAAAAAGACAAAAAUAAUAAUUUUCAAUGUGAUAAGUACAAACUUUACCAUGGAAAAUCUACCAUUUUAUCAUGGCAACUUUGUGUGUUUUUCUUAUUUUUUAAUGUGUUUGUUUUGCCAAAUUGGUAAAAACAAAUACUACCAUUGCCACAAUUUAUAUGGUAUCUUUUUAAAAUUAUUCCCCUCUGACCUGGUAACCUUUUUCCAUAAUUAGUGUAGUUUAUACCAUGCUGUUUAUAUAUAUUUGCCACGGGUGUAUAUGGAAAUGUACAAAAAAAAUAAAUUAUACAAUCAUGGCAAAUUUUAGAUAACAACUAAUUUCCAAAGUUGCCAUGUGGCCACUUUUAUAAAUUUCAUAUAAUUUUCCAUGUAACUAAUAGUUUUUUUUCACUUGCCAUACCAUAAAGCAUUUUUUUUAAAGUUGUUAGGUCAAUGUACUAUAUUCUUUCUGAUAUUGGCCAUCAACUAGAGAACAAAAAUUCUAAUUUUUCCAUGACAUCAUUUUUUGCUACCGUUGCCAUGAAUUAGGGAUUGUUUUUUCCAUAGCCAUGGCAGCAUAUUAGAUCGUUCGCCAUGAGUUAGAGAUCAUUCGCCAUGUGAGUGUACUAUGCACAUAACAAUUGUUUUUAAAACUUUGCCAUGCCAUUGUACUAUGUUCAUUCCGAAUUCACCAUUAAUUAGGUAACGGAAGUCCUAAAAUUGCCAUGACAUCAUUAUUCAACAUUCGCCAUAAUUAGAGAUCUUUUUUUUGCAUGGACCAUGGCAAAUUGCAUCGCUAGACCAUGAAAAUUUUACUUGAAAAUACAUGGAAAUUUAUUUGCAUAGCCAUGAAAAUUUAAUUUUGCCAUGGACCAUUGCAAGUUGUUUUUAGUUCCACGGCAAAAUAAUUUCCAGAGCCACAACAAUUUAGUUUCUUCCUGGACCAUUUCAAAUCUUAUUUCCUAGCUCAUGUCAAAUUUAUUUUGAAAGACAUUGUAACUUUUUUUCCAUAGCAUGGCAAUUUUAUUUUUAGAAUCAUCACCAUUUAGUUAUUUCCUAGACCCAUGGAAAAUUUAUUUAUAUCACGACAAGUAUCAUGGAAAAUUUUAUUUUAUUAUUUCUACCAUAUGUUAUGAAAAAUAAAAUAUAGUGCAUGGCAUUUCUAUUAUAAUAUCAUGUGGAAAUUCAUUUAUGUCAUUUUUUAUUUCAUACGCAAAUUUGCCACGUACUUGGAAAUUUAGAUGUCAUGGCAAAUUAAAUUUUCGAGAGUUGUGUUGCAUUAAUUUUCCUGAUCAUGUUUGCAAUGUUUUAUCUCAGCCAAGGCAAGUUUUGGUAAGUUACAUGGAUUUUUUGUUAUUUCUACCAUGAUAAUUUUUAUUUUUAUUGCAUGUGAUUGAAAUGUUGUGACAAAAAAAAUAUAGAGCAUGGCAUUUUUAUUACAAGAUCAUGGCAAAAUUCUUGCACUUCUUUUAAAUUAUUUAGUGCGCAAAUUUGUCAUGUACCUCGAAAUUUAGAUGUCGUGGCAAAUUAAAUUUGAUAGCUACGGCGAUUCUUUUUUCCUGGACAAUAUUUUGAACCGGGGGCCAUGCGAUAGUUUCAUUAUAAAAGGAUGCAAAAAAAAGUUUUUAAAGGCAUGUGUUUUCGUUGUGCUAAAGUUGGGCCUUUUUUGUCCAUUUUUUCCUUAUAACGUGUUGUUUUAACAAACCCUUUUAAGGGCGUCAAAUAUUUUUUGACGUGAAAGUGGUUUACGCUGGUGGUCGAUGCUAUCCCAUCAAACAAAACAUUCAUUCUCCCCUCCUAGGGGUACGAUUUGUUCGAUCUAGAUCAUUCGUUCGCUCGGUAUUGGGAUUCGUGUGCCUUUGGUGAUUGUCGACGGCAUCUAGCCCAUGUUUCGACAGUAGCAGCUCGACGGUGCUGCACGACAGUAGCUUGACUGCGCUUCAACACUCAAGCAUUGUUCUUGGCGCGACAAGGCUAGACAUCAGAAGUGAUUUGCCACCCGAUUUAUUGUUUUAUCUCUCGCUAAUUGCAAUCAAGUAAGGUGCUCGUCGAAUGGUCUAGGUAGGGAAAGAUCGACAUAUCAGACGUGCCUUGAGGCAAAGCCAAAGGAGCCGGCUCCAAAGCAUCUUGAUAUGGCAAACCACAUAUCUUUCCCUAUUGAUGAUUAGCACUAAUACGAGAGUACAAAAUUAUUUGUGACAAUUGACAAAGAUAUGACCCACACGUAUUUUCUUUUUUGAUGUAAAUCACAUGUCAUUCAUUCAACAAUUGCACUACAACCCUACAAGUAGUCAGGAUAUAGAAGCAACCGAAAGACUAUAUUUAUUUCUUCUGUACUCUCUCUUCCUCAAGGCAUAUUGGAGCAGAUUGAGAGAAUCAUGCGCCAGUGUCUGUGGAGAGGGAACACGGAUACCCCACGCCAAUCAUUGGCUGCUUGGGAUCUAGUCCGUCGGCCUAAGAAGUUGGGCGGUCUGGGUGUUCUCGAUUUAGGUAUUCAAAAUGAUGCCUUGUUGCUCAAGCAUCUCUUCAAGUUCUUUAACAAGGUGGAUGUGCCUUGGGUCACCCUAAUUUGGGACACUUAUUAUGCCUCCUCUCCACCACAAGUCACUCAGAGCUGUGGUUCUUUUUGGUGGCGAGAUGUCAUGCGCGUAUAUGAUAAUUUUUGCAAGUUGUCUGUUCCGCAAGUGCAUGCUGGUGAUAUGGUGGUCUUCUGGCUUGACCGCUGGCAGCUGGGGAAUAGUGUUGUUUUAAUGCAAGAUCGGUUUCCGCGGCUUCAUUCCUUUGUGAUUGAUGAUACGAUCACAGUUGAGGAAUUUAUGGAGCUACCUGAUUUAACCGAUAACUUCCAUUUGCCUCUGUCGCCAGAAGCUUUCCAAGAAUACACUCGGCUUCAAUCUUUGCUGCCGCUGAUCAACCUUGAUGAGGAAAGGAAAGAUAUAUGGACAUGGCCAUCUAAAUCUGGAGAGUUUAAGUCAAGGAUCUAUUAUGAGUCUUGCUUCUCACAUCUUGUGGUUGAUCCCAUAUUUAAGUGGAUCUGGAAAUGUUCAUGCACUCUCAAGUUCAAGGUGUUUGGUUGGCUCCUUUUGAUGGAUCGUUUGAAUACCAGAGACAUGAUGCAGUCGAAGGAAAUAUGCCCUAGAGGCAAUAAUAAAUUUGUUAUUUAUAUUUCCUUAUAUCAUGAUAAAUGUUUAUUAUUCAUGCUAGAAUUGUAUUAACCGGAAACUUAGUACAUGUGUGAAUACAUAGACAAAACAGAGUGUCACUAGUAUGCCUCUACUUGACUAGCUCGUUGAAUCAAAUAUGGUUAAAUUUCCUAGCCAUAGACAUGAGUUGUCAUUUGAUUAACGGGAUCACAUCAUUAAAGAAUGAUGUGAUUGACUUGACCCAUUCCGUUAGCUUAGCACUUGAUCGUUUAGUAUGUUGCUAUUGCUUUCUUCGUGACUUAUACAUGUUCCUAUGAGUAUGAGAUUAUGCAACUCUCGAAUACCGGAGGAACACUUUGUGUGCUACCAAACGUCACAACGUAACUGGGUGAUUAUAAAGGUGCUCUACAGGUGUCUCCGAUGGUGGUUGUUGAGUUGGCAUAGAUCGAGAUUAGGGUUUGUCACUCCGAUUGUCGGAGAGGUAUCUCUGGGCCCUCUCGCUAAUACACAUCACUACAAGCCUUGCAAGCAAUGUGACUAAUGAGUUAGUUGCGGGAUGAUGCAUUACGGAACGAGUAAAGAGACUUGCCGGUAACAAGAUUUAACUAGGUAUUGAGAUACCGACGAUCGAAUCUCGGGCAAGUAACAUACCGAUGACAAAGGGAACUACGUAUGUUGUUAUGCGGUUUGACCAAUAAAGAUCAUCAUAGAAUAUGUGGGAGCCAAUAUGAGCAUCCAGGUUCCGCUAUUGGUUAUUGACCGGAAACGUGUCUCGGUCAUGUCUACAUAGUUCUCGAACCCGUAGGGUCCGCACGCUUAACGUUCGGUGAUGAUCGGUAUUAUGAGUUUAUGUGUUUUGAUGUACCGAAGAUAGUUCGGAGUCCCGGAUGUGAUCACGGACAUGACGAGGAGUCUCUAAAUGGUCGAGACAUAAAGAUUGAUAUAUUGGACGGCUAUAUUCGGACACCUGAAUUGUUCCGGGUGAUUUCGGAGAAAACCGGAGUGCCAGAGGGUUACCGGAACCUCCCCGGGAGAACUAAUGGGCCUCAUGGGCCUUAGUGGAGAGAGAGAGGGCCGGCCAGGGCAGCCCCCCCUUGGGAGUCCGAAUUGGACAAGGAGAGGGGCGGCGCCCCCCUUUCCCUUCUCCCUCUCCUCCUUCCUUCCCCCUCCUAGUAGGAGUAGGAAAGGGGAGUCCUCCUCCUACUAGGAGGAGGACUCCUCCUCUCCUGGCGCGCCACAAGGGCCGGCCGGCCUCCCCCCUUGCUCCUUUAUAUACGGGGGCAGGGGCACCCUAGAACACACAAGUUGAUUGUUUCCAGCCGUGUGUGGUUCCCCCCUCCAUCAUAAUCCACCUCGGUCAUAUCGUUGCAGUGCUUAGGCGAAGCCUUGCGCCGGUAGCUUCAUCAUCACCGUCACCACGUCGUCGUGCUGACGAAACUCUCCCUCGAUACUCUGCUGGAUCGUGAGUUUGAGUGACGUCAUCGAGCUGAACGUGUGCUGAACUCGGAGGUGCCGUGCGUUCGGUACUUGGAUCGAUCGGAUCGUGAAGACGUACGACUACAUCAACCGCGUUGACAAAAUGCUUCCGCUUACGGUCUACGAGGGUACGUGGACAACACUCUCCCGCUCGUUGCUAUGCAUCACCAUGCUCUUGCGUGUGCGUAGGGAAAUUUUGAAAUUACUACGUUCCCCAAUAGUGGCAUCCGAGCUAGGUUUAUGCGUAGAUGUUAUAUGCACGAGUAGAACACAAGUGAGUUGUGGGUGAUACUAGGCAUACUGCUUACCAACAUGUCAUACUUUGAUUCGGCGGUAUUGUUGAAUGAAGCGGCCCGGACCGACAUUACGCGUACGCUUACGCGAGACUGGUUCUACCGACGUGCUUCGCACACAGGUGGCUGGCGGGUGUCAGUUUCUCCAACUUUAGUUGAAUCGAGUGUGGCUACGCCCGGUCCUUGUUGAAGGUUAAAACAACACAUACUUGACGAAAAAUCAUUGUGGUUCUGAUGCGUAGGUAAGAACGGUUCUUGCUAAGCCCGUAGCAGCCACGUAAAACUUGCAAGAACAAAGUAGAGGACGUCUAACUUGUUUUUGCAGGGCUUGUUGUGAUGUGAUAUGGUCAAGACGUGAUGAGAUAUAAGUUGUUGUAUGAGAUGAUCAUGUUUUGUUGAAGUUAUCGGCAACUAGUAGAAGCCUUAUGGUUGUCUCUUUAUUGCAUAAGAUGCAAGCGCCAAAUAAUUGCUUUACUUUAUUGCUAUGCGAUAGCAACAGUUGGCGAGACGACCCUAUGACGACACGUUGAUAGAGAUCAAGAUGAUGGAGAUCAUGGUGUCAUGCCGGUGACGAUAGAGAUCAUGACGGUACUUUAGAGAUGGAGAUCAAAGGCGCAAGAUGAUCAUGGCCAUAUCAUGUCACAUAUUUUGAUUGCAUGUGGUCUUUAUUCUUUAUGCAACUUAUUUUGCUUAGUUCGGCGGUAGCUUUAUAAGAUGAUCCCUUACUAAAAUUUCAAGGUAUAAGUGUUCUCCCUGAGUAUGCACCGUUGCGACAGUUCUUCGUGCUGAGACAUCACGUGAUGAUCGGGUGUGAUAAGCUCUACAUUCACAUACAACGGGUGCAAGCCGGUUUUGCACACGCAGAAUACUCAGGUUAAACUUGACGAGCCUAGCAUAUACAGAUAUUGACUCGGAACACUAGAGACCGAAAGGUCGAGCGUGAAUCAUAUAGUAGAUAUGAUCAAUAUAGUGAUGUUCACCAUUGGAAACUACUCCAUCUCACAUGAUGAUCGAACAUGGUUUAGUUGAUUUAGAUCGCGUGAUCAUUUAGAUGACUAGAGGGGUGUCUAUCUAAGUGGGAGUUCUUAAGUAAUAUGAUUAAUUGAACUUUAAUUUAUCAUGAAGUUAGUCCUGGUAGUAUUAGCAUAUCUAUGUUGUAGAUCAAUAGCUCGCGAUGUAGCUCCAUGUUUAUUUUUAUAUGUUCCUAGAGAAAUAUAAGUUGAAAGAUGAUAGUAGCUGUUGGGGAACGUAGUAAUUUCAAAAAAAAAAUCCUACGCACACGCAAGACCAUGGUGAUGCAUAGCAACGAGAGGGGAGAGUGUUGUCCACGUACCCUCGUAGACCGAAAGCGGAAGCGUUAACACAACGCGGUUGAUGUAGUCGUACGUCUUCACGAUCCGACCGAUCAAGUACCGAACGCACGGCACCUCCGAGUUCAGCACACGUUCAGCUCGAUGACGUCCCUCGAACUCCGAUCCAGCCGAGUGUUGAGGGAGAGUUUUGUCAGCACGACGGCAUGGUGACGAUGAUGAUGUUCUACUGACGCAGGGCUUCGCCUAAGCUCCGCGACGAUAUUAUCGAGGUGUAAUAUGGUGGAGGGGGGCACCGCACACGGCUAAGAGAUCAAUGAUCAAUUGUUGUGUCUAUGGGGUGCCCCCCUGCCCCCGUAUAUAAAGGAGCAAGGGGGAGGCCGCCGGCCAAGGAGGAGGGCGCGCCAAGGGGGGAGUCCUACUCCCACCGGGAGUAGGACUCCUCCUUUCCUUGUUGGAGUAGGAAAAGGGAAGGGAGAAGGAGAAAGAAGGAAGGGGGCGCCCCCCUUCCCUAGUCCAAUUCGGACUAGUCGAUGAGGAGGGGUGCGGCCUCCCUUUGGGGUCUUUCUCUCCUUUCCCGUAUGGCCCAUUAAGGCCCAAUACGAAUUCUCGUAACUCUCCGGUACUCCGAAAAAUACCCGAAUCACUCGGAACCUUUCCGAAGUCCGAAUAUAGUCGUCCAAUAUAUCGAUCUUUACGUCUCAGCCAUUUCGAGACUCCUCGUCAUGUCCCCGAUCUCAUCCGGGACUCCGAACUCCUUCGGUACAUCAAAACACAUAAACUCAUAAUAUAACCGUCAUCGUAACGUUAAGCGUGCGGACCCUACGGGUUCGAGAACUAUGUAGACAUGACCGAGACACCUCUCCGGUCAAUAACCAAUAGCGGAACCUGGAUGCUCAUAUUGGCUCCCACAUAUUCUACGAAGAUCUUUAUCGGUCAGACCGCAUAACAACAUACGUUGUUCCCUUUGUCAUCGGUAUGUUACUUGCCCGAGAUUCGAUCGUCGGUAUCUCGAUACCUAGUUCAAUCUCGUUACCGGCAAGUCUCUUUACUCGUUCCGUAAUACAUCAUCCCGCAACUAACUCAUUAGUUACAAUGCUUGCAAGGCUUAUAGUGAUGUGUAUUACUGAGUGGGCCCAGAGAUACCUCUCCGACAAUCGGAGUGACAAAUCCUAAUCUCGAAAUACACCAACCCAACAAGUACCUUUGGAGACACCUGUAGAGCACCUUUAUAAUCACCCAGUUACGUUGUGACGUUUGGUAGCACACAAAGUGUUCCUCCGGUAAACGGGAGUUGCAUAAUCUCAUAGUCAUAGGAACAUGUAUAAGUCAUGAAGAAAGCAAUAGCAACAUACUAAACGAUCGAGUGCUAAGCUAACGGAAUGGGUCAAGUCAAUCACGUCAUUCUCCUAAUGAGGUGAUCUCGUUAAUCAAAUGACAACUCAUGUCUAUGGCUAGGAAACAUAACCAUCUUUGAUUAACGAGCUAGUCAAGUAGAGGCAUACUAGUGACACUCUGUUUGUCUAUGUAUUCACACAUGUAUUAUGUUUCCGGUUAAUACAAUUCUAGCAUGAAUAAUAAACAUUUAUCAUGAUAUAAGGAAAUAAAUAAUAACUUUAUUAUUGCCUCUAGGGCAUAUUUCCUUCAGUAGCAAUGAUGCGGACUUGGUCCGUGAUCUGAGGAUUUUCCUCAUUGUUGCACAGAAGAAUUAUGUCCUUGAUGCACCGCUAGGUGACAGACCUAUUGCAGGAGCAGAUGCAGACGUUAUGAACGUUUUGACAAAAGCUCGGUAUGAUGACUACUUAAAAGUUUAGUGCACCAUGCUUUACGGCUUAAAACCGGGACUUCAAAAAUGUUUUGAACGUCAUGGAGCAUAUAAGAUGUUCCAAGAGUUGAAAUUAGUGUUUCAGACUCAUGCCCGUGUCAAGAGGUAUGAGACCUCUGACAGUACUUUGCCUACAAGAUGGAGGAGAAUAGCUCAACCAGUGAGCAUGUACUCAGAUUGUCUGGGUACUACAAUUGCUUGAAUCAAAUGGGAGUUAAUCUUCCAGAUAAGAUAGUAAUUGACAAAGUUCUCUAGUCACUAUCUCUAAGUUACUAGAACUUCAUGAUGAACUAUAAUAUGCAAGGGAUGACAAAAGUAAUUCCCGAGCUCUUCGCGAUGCUGAAAUCGACGAAGGUAGAAAUCAAGAAAGAGCAUCAAGUGUUGAUGGUUAACAAGACCACUAGUUUCAAGAAAAGGGCAAAGGGAUAGAAGGGGAACUUCAAGAAGAAUGGCAAGCAAGUUGUUGCUCAAGUGAAGAAGCCCAAGUCUGGACCUAAGCCUGAGACUGAGUUCUUCUACUGUAAUGGAAAUGGUCACUGGAAGUGGAACUACCCUAGAUACUUAGCGGAUAAGAAGGAUGGCAAAGUGAACAAAGGUAUAUUUGAUAUACAUGUUAUUUAUGUGUACUUUACUAGUGUUUAUAGCAACCCCUCGGCAUUUGAAACUGAUUCAGUUGCUAAGAGUAGUAACUCGAAACAGGAGUUGCAGAAUGAACAGAAACUAGUUAAGGGUGAAGUGACGAUGUGUGUUGAAAGUAGUUCCAAGAUUGAUAUGAUCAUCAUCGCACACUCCCUAUACUUUCGGGAUUAGUGUUGAACCUAAAUAAAUGUUAUUUGGUGUUUGCGUUGAGCAUGAAUAUGAUUUGAUCAUGUUUAUUGCAAUACGGUUAUUCAUUUAAGUUAGAGAAUAAUUGUUGUUCUGUUUACAUGAAUAAAACCUUCUAUGGUCAUACACCCAAUGAAAAUGGUUUGCUAGAUCUUGAUCGUAGUGAUACACAUAUUCAUAAUAUUGAAGCCAAAAGAUGCAAAGUUAAUAAUGAUAGUGCAACUUAUUUGUGGCACUGCCGUUUAGGUCAUAUUGGUGUAAAGCGCAUGAAGAAACUCCAUGCUGAUGGGCUUUUGGAAUCACUUGACUAUGAAUCACUUGAUGCUUGCGAACCAUGCCUUACUAAGACUCCGUUCUCCGGAACAAUGGAGCGAGCAACUGACUUACUGGAAACAAUACAUACUGAUGUAUGCGGUCCGAUGAGUGUUAAGGCUCGCGACGGGUAUCGUUAUUUUCUGACCUUCACAGAUGAUUUGAGUAGAUAUGGGUAUAUCUACUCGAUGAAACAUAAGUCUGAAACAUUUGAAAAGUUCAAAGAAUUUCAGAGUGAAGUAGAAAAUCAUCUAACAAGAAAAUAAAGUUUCUACGAUCUGAUCGCGGAGACGAAUAUUUGAAUUAUGAGUUUGGUCUUCAUUUAAAACAAUGUGGAAUAUUUUCACAACUCACGCCACCUGGAACACCACAGCGUAAUGGUGUGUCUGAACGUCAUAACCGUACUUUAUUGGAUAUGGUGCGAUCUAUGAUGUCUCUUACCGAUUUACCACUAUCGUUUUGGGAUUAUGCAUUAGAGACAGCUGCAUUCACAUUAAAUAGGGCACCAUCUAAAUCCGUUGAGAUGACACCGUAUGAACUGUGGUUUAGCAGUAAACCUAAGCUGUCAUUUCCUAAAAGUUUGGGGCUGCGAUGCUUAUGUGAAAAAGCUUCAACCUGAUAAGCUCGAACCCAAAUCGGAGAAAUGCGUCUUCAUAGAAUACCCAAAAGAAACUGUUGGGUACACCUUCUAUCACAGAUCCGAAGGCAAGAUAUUUGUUGCUAAGAGUUGAUCCUUUCUAGAGAAGGAGUUUCUCUCGAAAGAAGUGAGUGGGAGGAAAGUAGAACUUGAUGAGGUAAUUGUACUUUCUCCCAAAUUGGAAAGUAGUUCAUCACAGAAAUCAGUUCCAGUGAUUCCUACACCAAUUAGUGAGAACACUAAUGAUGAUGAUCAUGAAUCUUCAGAUCAAGUUACUACCGAACCUCGUAGGUCAACCAGAAUAAGAUCCGCACCAGAGUGGUACAGUAAUCCUGUUCGGAGGUCAUGUUACUUGACCAUGAUGAACCUAUGAACUAUGAGGAAGCGAUGAUGAGCCCAGAUUCCGUGAAAUGGCUUGAGGCCAUGAAAUCUGAGAUGGGAUCCAUGUUAAGAACAAAGUAUGGACUUUGGUUGACUUGCCCGAUGAUCGGCAAGCAAUAUAGAAUAAAUGGAUCUUCAAGAGGAAGACGGACGCUGAUAGUAGUGUUACUAUCUACAAAGCUUGAAUUGUCGCAAAAAUGUUUCCGACAAGUUCAAGGUGUUGACUACGAUGAGAUUUUCUCACUUGUAUCGAUGCUUAAAAGUCUGUCCGAAUCAUGUUAGCAAUUGCCGCAUUUAUAAAAUUUGGCAAAUGGAUGUCAAACUUGCAUUCCUUAAUGGAUUUCUUAAAGAAGAGUUGUAUGUGAUGCAACCAGAAGGUUUUGUCGAUCCUAAAGGUGCUAACAAAAUGUGCAAAGCUCCAGCGAUUCAUCUAUGGACUGGUGCAAGCAUCUCGGAGUUGGAAUAUACAUUUUGAUAGUGUGAUCAAAGCAUAUAGUUUUAUACAGACUCGCGGUGAAGCCUGUAUUUACAAGAAACUGAGUGGGAGCACUACAGCCUUUCUGUUAAGUAUAUGUGUGUGACAUAUUGUUGAUCAGAAAUGAUGUAGAAUUUUCUGGAGAGCAUAAAGGAGUGUUUGGAAGGAGUUUUUCAAAGAAAGACCUCAGUGAAGUUGCUUACAUAUUGAGCAUCAAGAUCUAUAGAGAUAGAUCAAGACGCUUGAUAAGUUUUUCAAUGAGUACAUACCUUGACAAGUUUUUGAAGUAGUUCAAAAUGGAACAAUCAAAGAAAGAGUUCUUGUCUGUGUUGCAAGGUGUGAAAUUGAGUAAGACUCAAAGCCCGACCAUGGUAGAAGAUAGAAAGAGAAUGAAAGUCAUUCCCUAUGCCUCAACCAUAGGUUCUAUAAAGUAUGCCAUGUUGUGUGCCAGAUCUAUUGUAUACCCUACACUGAGUUUGGCAAGGGAGUACAAUAGUGAUCUAGGAGUAGAUCACUGGACAGCGGUCAAAAUUAUCCUUAGUGGAAUAAGGAUAUGUUUCUCGAUAAUGGAGGUGAAAAAAGGUUCGUCGUAAAGGGUUACGUCGAUGCAAGUUUUGACACUGAUCCAGAUGACUCUAAAUCUCAAUCUGGAUACAUAUUGAAAGUGGGAGCAAUUAGCUAGAGUAGCUCCGUGUAGAGCAUUGUUGACAUAGAAAUUUGCAAAAUACAUACGGAUCUGAAUAUGGCAGAUCCGUUGACUAAACUUCUCUCACAAGCAAAACAUGAUCACACCUUAGUACCCUUUGAGUGUUGGUCACAUGGCGAUGUGAACUAUGGGUGUUAAUCACAUGGUGAUGUGAACUAUUGGUGUUAAAUCACAUGGCGAUGUGAUCUAGAUUAUUGACUCUAGUGCAAGUGGGAGACUGAAGGAAAUAUGCCCUAGAGGCAAUAAUAAAGUUGUUAUUUAUAUUUCCUUAUAUCAUGAUAAAUGUUUAUUAUUCAUGCUAGAAUUGUAUUAACCAGAAACUUAGUACAUGUGUGAAUACAUAGACAAAACAAAGUGUCACUAGUAUGCCUCUACUUGACUAGCUCGUUGAAUCAAAGAUGGUUAAGUUUCCUAGCCAUAGACAUGAGUUGUCAUUUGAUUAACGGGAUCACAUCAUUAAAGAACGAUGUGAUUGACUUGACCCAUUCCGUUAGCUUAGCACUUGAUUGUUUAGUAUGUUGCUAUUGCUUUCUUCAUGACUUAUACAUGUUCCUAUGAGUAUGAGGUUAUGCAACUCCCGAAUACCGGAGGAACACUUUGUGUGCUACCAAACGUCACAACGUAACUGGGUGAUUAUAAAGGUGCUCUACAGGUGUCUCCUAUGGUGUUUGUUGAGUUGGCAUAGAUCGAGAUUAGGGUUUGUCACUUCGAUUGUCGGAGAGGUAUCUCUGGGCCCUCUUGCUAAUACACAUCACUAUAAGCCUUGCAAGCAAUGUGACUAAUGAGUUAGUUGCGGGAUGAUGCAUUACGGAACGAGUAAAGAAACUUGUCGGUAACGAGAUUGAACUAGGUAUUGAGAUACCGACGAUCGAAUCUCGGGCAAGUAACAUACCGAUGACAAAGGGAACAACGUAUGUUGUUAUGCGGUUUGACCGAUAAAGAUCUUCAUAGAAUAUGUGGGAGCCAAUAUGAGCAUCCAGGUUCCGCUAUUGGUUAUUGACCAGAAACGUGUCUCGGUCAUGUCUACAUAGUUCUCGAACCCGUAGGGUCCGCACGCUUAACGUUCGGUGACGAUCGGUAUUAUGAGUUUAUGUGUUUUGAUGUACCGAAGAUAGUUCGGAGUCCCGGAUGUGAUCACGGACAUGACGAGGAGUCUCGAAAUGGUCGAGACAUAAAGAUUGAUAUAUUGGACGGCUAUAUCCGGACACCGGAAUUGUUCCGGGUGAUUUCGGAGAAAACCGGAGUGCCGGAGGGUUACCGGAACCCCCCGGGAGAACUAAUGGACCUCAUGGGGCUUAGUGGAGAGAGAGAGGGCCGGGCAGGGCAGGCCCCCCCCCCCUUGGGAGUCCGAAUUGGACAAGGAGGGGGGCGGCGCCCCCCUUUCCCUUCUCCCUCUCCUCCUUCCUUUCCCCCUCCUAGUAGGAGUAGGAAAUGGGAGUCCUACUCCUACUAGGAGGAGGACUCCUCCUCUCUUGGCGCGCCACAAGGGCCGGCCGGCCUCCCCCCUUGCUCCUUUAUAUACGGGGGCAGGAGGGCACCCUAGAACACACAAGUUGAUUGUUUCCAGCCGUGUGUGGUGCCCCCUCCACCAUAAUCCACCUCGGUCAUAUCAUUGCAGUGCUUAGGCGAAGCCCUGCGCCGGUAGCUUCAUCAUCACCGUCACCAUGCCGUCGUGCUGACGAAAGUCUCCCUCGACACUCUGCUGGAUCGUGAGUUCGAGGGACGUCAUCGAGCUGAACGUGUGCUGAACUCGGAGUGCCGUGCGUUCGGUACUUGGGUCGGUCGGAUCGUGAAGACGUACGACUACAUCAACCGCGUUGACAAAACGCUUCCGCUUACGGUCUAUGAGGGUACGUGGACAACACUCUCCCGCUCGUUGCUAUGCAUCACCAUGAUCUUGCGUGUGCGUAGGAAAUUUUUGAAAUUACUACGUUCCCCAACAGCAGCGACGUCACUGGAACUUCCAAGAUGACACAUGUGUAAUGUGUCAUUCUCGCUGCCAUGAGGACCGAGUCCAUCUCUUUUUUGCUUGCAAUUUUAGUCAACGGGUGUGGAAUUAUCUUGGGAUUUCUUGGAUCGUUCAACCAAAUCAGACUACAUAUGAGAUGGCUUUAUCUGCUCAGAGGGACUUUGGUUUUCCCUUUUUCACAGAGGUAGUCUUCACUGCCACAUGGAAUAUUUGGACUCAAAGGAAUGGAAAGAUCUUCAGAAAUGAGCUGCCUUCCUUUAGAUUUUGGAGGAGAAAUUUUGUCCAUGACAUUUCUCUCUUAGCUCAUAGAAUUAAAUGUAAAUAUAGAGAUAGCCUAACCUCCUGGAUAGCUUCCCUUCCAUAGUUCUCUUUGUAAGUAUUUCCCUUCUGUUCUUACUUGUAACUUAGCAACUUUGUAACUUCUCUAGUUCUUUAUCGAUAAAGAACUGUGAGGCUGUUGCCUUGCAGUAUAUAGUGAAAAAAAAGACUAUAUACACAACACUUAUAAAAAUGACCUCACGAAAGAUGAAAGUACAAUCGUGGGGGACGUGAACGCAAAAAACGCCCGUUGCCACUCCAUUGUAGCCCAAGCUUUGUCGGACAAAGGGGGGACACAAACAUUCCACUACCGAAUAGGUGCCAUGGUAGACAAAGUUGCAUUGUGAGGCGGCAAAGCGGGUUGUUAAUGACUGGUGGUAGGUUUGAAUCUUACUUAGGAGUAAGUAUGCUUGUGGAACUACAGUGAUGGCUAUGGUGCAAACUAGAUGCUUCUAAUCAAGUGCAUAUCUGGCGACGUUUACGCGAUCCAUUCUGCCGAGGAGGCCGCCGUCCCGCAAAUUUUGUUUACCGGAUACUGUAAACGAAAUUUGCAAGACACGGCGGUAUACCGGAUUUGCUAGAGAUGCUCUAAGGCUGCAUACUCCACCAUGUACAAGGCAGAUGAUGAUCCUGCACUGAACUUGGUGUGGUCCUCCAGGGUUCCAAACAAGGUCAAGAUCUUUGGAUGGUUACUGCAUAAUGACAGACUGAACACUUGCAAAAACCUACACCGAAAAACCAUCCUACAGCCAGACAAGUGUCUCAGAUGCCUGCACCACACAGAAAUGCUUACACAUGUUCCAUGUGCCCCAAGGCAAAAGCUAUUUGGAGGACAAUUCGCAUCAGACCAAACUGCAAUGACAUCAAGCUUAUUUACAAAACCAACUUCCCAACACACAUCCCCGAGUCACUCCAUACUUUCAUGAUACCGCUCUUUCUCUGGAAGAUCUGGGAUGCAAUAAACACUUGUUUUUAGGCAACUCCAGCUAAGAUCAUCUCAAAUGUAAUUUCGGAUUUUUUUUUGAUCUAGUCUUAGGCCUCAUUCGGUUUGGAGGAAAUCAAAAUGUAGGAUUUAGGAAUAGUAUAGGAAGUUGAUAGGAUGGAAUUUGACAUCUAAAGAAUUGUCUUGCCUCUUUCUACGCACAAAAUGAGCUUUGAGUGAAUUUGUAGAUUCCUUCAAAAAAAAUGAAUAGUAUUCCUACGAAAUCCCCAUGCGUGUUUUCUACAAACCGAAUGCAUCUAUACAAAUUUCUCUGAAUCUUUGUUCCUAUGUUUUUCUAUAAAAUUCCUUCGAACCGAAGGAGGCCUCGGAGACUAAAAAAAAGCUUGGAUUUUGUGGUGACGCCAAUCUGUUUUCAUGCGCCAUAAAAAAACACAGAAGAAUCACGUUUGUACAUGUAACAAUUGAGCCACAACACACAAAGGUCAGUUACCAGUACCAAGUGCUAGAUUUGCCUUGGAACCACUAGUGAAAAAGAACCUGUAAAAAGCUCGCUCAAAAAUCAAAAUCUCUCAGCACUUCAGUACCGCCGGCUCUGCAGAAGCUGGCUCAUCGAGUCGUACCCCAGCGCGCGGUGCAGCAGCAACGGCACCUGCUGCGCACCGGCACCGCCGCUCCUGCCCGCCGCGCGUUCCAGCUCACCCGAGCCGGACACCCCGCUCGUCUGCCGCGCGGGGCCAGCGAUACCCGCAGCCGCGGGAAGCGCCACCUCGAGCACUUCCUCGCACCCGCCGCACCGCAGCCUGAUGAUGUUUCCCCUCCUCCUCGACGGCACCGCCGACGUGGGCGCAUGGAGAAGCUCGGAGCACCCGCCGCAGACAACGAACGGCGCGCCCCCCAGGACCGGGAGGCACUGGCGCCUCUUCCGCGGCCUCGCCGCGCGCCGCUCGCCGUGGCUGUUGGACGACGACGUCGACGACGACCACGAGGCGGAGCCGGUGCUCGAGUAACCGUUCUGGCGCGGGCCACGUGCCGCCGCGUUCUCGGCGGGAAGCUCCUCGGCGAGCCGCGACUCCAGCCGCCGGAACAAACGAGUGUCGCGCCGCGUCACCGCCCCGCUCCCGCCGCUCGUCGACCGCGGCUGCAGCUCGAUGUUGGCGAUCAUGCCCCGGAGCUUGUCCAGCGCGUGCAGCAGGUCCCUUUGGAACGCCGGGUCCGUCAGGGGCGACGCCGUGACAGCGGACACGCUGGCAGACGUCCGGAGCUCCCUAGAGCUCAGCGCCGAUUGCCGGAGCUGCUGCCCGGACGACGCGUUCCUUGGCGCCUCCUCGGGGUCCGGGACAGAGAAGUCCCGUCGACGCAGAAUGCUCGGGUCUGAAGCACUCGACGCCCGCCUCGUCCGCCGAGACGACGCCCGGAGCGCAUCGACGCGACUGUUCACCGGUCGAACGACUCGAACCUCGUCUUGCCCAUCCGAGCCGACGCGGCCGUCUUCGACGCCCCGAGAUACGCAGCUAUUGCUCCGAGGUUGGCCGGCCCGUGGUGAACCGAAGCCUCUGUACGGCGACGGCGAGGAAGCAGCCGCAAUCCCCUGGCUGUUGGCAUCGGAGUUGGAGUUGUAGCCGCACGAGAAGGGCGGCUGGUCGCCGUCGACGUCGAUGACUGAAGGCUGCGUAGAGGAACCCUCGAGCUCGUCGGAGAAGACCGACUCGGUGUCGACGGCCGAGAGGAUCUCCAGACUGCUGAGAGUGUUGUCCGUUUCAUCGUCCGUCGGCUCCGUGUUCUUGCCUGCGGAGAGAGGCAGAACAGAACCGAAGCAGAUUAGAGCAGAACUCAACGGCGCGCAUGUGUCGCACAGUGAUUAUGCGGCGCACCUCGGAUGGGAGUGCGGCAUUUGGUGCAGUAGUAGAUGGCGGCGGCGGUGCUCUGGCAGAUCAUGGCGCGGCAGUACGGGCACCGGCCGAACCGCGUCUUGGUGCCCCCGGCCGGCAUCGUCGUCGCCGCCCCUGUUUCUCUUCUUCUUGGAAGCUGAAAAACGAUGGGUGGAGAGCAGGUACUACCUAGAUUCACCGAAUUGGUUGAAUUAGUACGAAGAAAGAAGAUGCGAUGUCCAUUUCGAACCACGAACCAGUGGUUCGUCAAAAUAAUAAUAAAACUCAAAGUAAUGCUUCAUUGGCCGGGGGUAAUCCUCCAUUUCGAAAAAAAGAAAAAAAUGGCCAUAAGGUUCGGAGGUCAACCAUUAGGUAACUGCUUAUGGCAACCCUUGAUCUGUAAGUUAUGGAAUUGGUCAUCUCAUUCUAGUGGCAGUAGGAUAUUUCUUCAUCAAGUGCAUAGAGAUCAGAGCGUGCAUUUCAACCUGCAAAGUAACCACUCUGGAAUGCCUUUACCGAGAGAGAGAGAGAGAGAGAGAACUUCAUGAGCAAAUUAGUACAGAGGGAGGUGCAUCCAGGACAUGCCGCUAGACUACUGCACUUGGUUCUAAAAUUUUGGACAAAUUGGUUGCGAAACAAACGGAUCCUGGAAUCAGUAAUUGGUCAAAAUUAAUUUAAAAAAUAAAAGAAAUGCUUAAUUGGCCAGAGGUCUAGCAGUAGGUCAACUGCUUAUGACAACCAUUGAGCGAAAAGUUAUUGAAUUGGUCAUUCAUUCUAGGAUGUUUCUUCAUCAAUUGCAUUCAGAGAACAAAGUCGAACUAUAUAAUCCGGAAUGCUGAUGUAGAUCCUGGACUACCUUUACCGAGAGAGAGAGAGAGAGAGAGAGAGAGAGAGAGAGAGAGAGAGAGAGGAAGUCAGGCUCAUUCAUGGACAAAUUUGAUGCAAAACAGUAGGAAGGUUCUGAAAAAUGGCACUAUGAAAUUCCAAAGCAGCAAGCAAAGACAGGAAAUGAAGAACAAGCAGACACACCUCUCUCGUUGUCAAAAUCUUCUUCAGAGAAAUGUGCACACAAAAAAAAUUCUUCUUCAGAGAUUCUUCGUGGGCUUCUGCGCGAUAGCAUAGCACGGUGCCUCUAUAGCGGGCGGGCGGAUUUCUGAAACGUGAAGACAAAGGGAAGAAGAAGUAGGAGGAGGAGGACGAGCACCCAGCCAGAAAGAAUCGUCCUCCCUCGAGACAGCAAAGAUACAGCACUCCGAGGAAGUGCUAUUUUAGUAGGUGGCGUACGUGGAAAGAAGUGGCCAUGAUUUGGUAGUUGGAAUUGGAACACAGCAUUUAGCUUCAUAAAUAUUGCAAAAGGACCUUUUAUAGUAAUAUAAUCGAAAAUUGAAAAGUUCAAUCCGUUCUUUAGAGGAUUUUCUUUUCUUGAGAAACCUCUUCACGCGUUAUUCAGCAAAUAAGUUUGGAGGAAUUGUUACAAAGUCAUGUGGUGAAACUAGCCACAAUUGUCUACCAAAAUCUAGAGAUAAUGAAAACAUUGCUAAACUGUCUGCUUCAAAAUUUCCCUUUUUUUAGAGGAAAUUGAAAAGCCCAAUCGAAAGGCUAGAAUCGGCCUCGGGCCGAAGCCCGAUAUAACUCGCUGGCCCAUUGUUUUGUCGCUCGGCCCAUCGUUAUCCCAUCCGCGCGUGCCUGCAAGCCCCUGCCCGCCACGUAGCACAUUCCGCAGCCUCAGCUCGGCUCAGCUCAGCCUGCUCACCUCCACCUCUCAAACACGCGCGCCUCCACCUCCUCCCAUGAGAGGCGCGCCAUCCUCUCCAUGGCCUCCUCCUCCCUCCUGCCCCCGCCCACCUUCGCCAACAAGCACCAUGCGCUGCUCCACCCGCACGGUGCCAGGCACCGGCUGAUCAGGUGCGGUGCCGCGCCCACCGACGGCGGCGCGGGGGACGAGCUCCUCAGCGGCGCGCUGCACCUGGGCAGGCCCGACCCGGUGGUGGCGACCGUGGUCAGCGACACGGGCACCGAUGGCUGGGGUGACCUUUUCACCGAGCUCAAGAGGUCGCUGCAGGCGGACUCGUCCGACCCGGCCGCCAGCGAUGCGGCAUCCAUCGGCGCCGGCGCCGGCGCGGCUGUCCCGGACGGGCUCCUGAGCUCGCCUCUGGCCGGCGAAGCGGCCAAUGCCAACGCGGCCCUCGUCGUCCCGGACGGGGCCCUGACGAGCGCGCCGGACUCGGCGACGGACGGUGUCGGCGCGGCCGUGGACGCCAUCCCGGACGAGCUCCUCAGCGCGCUGCACCUGGACGCGUCCAGCCCGGCGGUGCGCGUGGCGGACGACGCGCUGUCCCGGAUGGAGGAGCUGACGGCGGGGAUGAACGAGGCGGAGCGGUGGGCGCUGUUUGGGGUGGUGGCGGUGACGUGGCUGUACCUGACGGCGCGGCCCGGGGUGCUGAGCGGCGCGGUGGACACGUACGUGUUCGCGCCGCUGCAGCAGGCGCUGGACACGCUGCUGGGGCGGCGGAGCCUGAAGAUGAGCGACUUCGUGGUGGGCGAGCGCAUCGGGGAGGGGUCGUUCGGGGUGGUGUACUCCGGCGCCGUGGUGCCCAGGGGCGGGCCCGCCGUCGAGGAGAGGGCCGGCAGGGCCAAGACUAAGCUCCAGCUCGACGACCGGUACAAGGAGAAGGUCAUACUCAAGAAGGUGAGCCUGGUGCAAGCGACGCUAGCUCAAGAGGGUCCGCCGGGGUUGCGAGCAAAAAUGGCGAAUCUGAUGGGUGGACCGGCGGUGCGUGUUCUGAUUUGCAGAUAAAAGUGGGGACAGUUGGAGCCAAGGAGUGCGGCGACUACGAGGAGUGGUUCAACUACCGGGUGGCGAGGGCGGCGCCGGAGUCGUGCGCGGAUUUCAUGGGGAGCUUCGUCGCCGACAAGACCAAGUCCGAGUUCGUCAAGGGCGGCAAGUGGCUCGUCUGGAAAUUUGAGGUAUGCUUCUUCAUAAAUAACGCACNNNNNNNNNNNNNNNNNNNNNNNNNNNNNNNNNNNNNNNNNNNNNNNNNNNNNNNNNNNNNNNNNNNNNNNNNNNNNNNNNNNNNNNNNNNNNNNNNNNNNNNNNNNNNNNNNNNNNNNNNNNNNNNNNNNNNNNNNNNNNNNNNNNNNNNNNNNNNNNNNNNNNNNNNNNNNNNNNNNNNNNNNNNNNNNNNNNNNNNNNNNNNNNNNNNNNNNNNNNNNNNNNNNNNNNNNNNNNNNNNNNNNNNNNNNNNNNNNNNNNNNNNNNNNNNNNNNNNNNNNNNNNNNNNNNNNNNNNNNNNNNNNNNNNNNNNNNNNNNNNNNNNNNNNNNNNNNNNNNNNNNNNNNNNNNNNNNNNNNNNNNNNNNNNNNNNNNNNNNNNNNNNNNNNNNNNNNNNNNNNNNNNNNNNNNNNNNNNNNNNNNNNNNNNNNNNNNNNNNNNNNNNNNNNNNNNNNNNNNNNNNNNNNNNNNNNNNNNNNNNNNNNNNNNNNNNNNNNNNNNNNNNNNNNNNNNNNNNNNNNNNNNNNNNNNNNNNNNNNNNNNNNNNNNNNNNNNNNNNNNNNNNNNNNNNNNNNNNNNNNNNNNNNNNNNNNNNNNNNNNNNNNNNNNNNNNNNNNNNNNNNNNNNNNNNNNNNNNNNNNNNNNNNNNNNNNNNNNNNNNNNNNNNNNNNNNNNNNNNNNNNNNNNNNNNNNNNNNNNNNNNNNNGCCACCAUAAUUCUGACUCCAUGGCGACACAACGAAGCACCGAAAAACCAGUUGAACACGUCGGAAAACCGUACCGAAACCAAAGCCCUACUUUAUGCAAUCAUCGUUACCAAGCAGAUCCCAACACCUCCGGGCACCCACCUCAGCAAAAAAAACUAUCAUCCGGCGAUGAUGUCCCCAAGGAGGAGAAAGACGAAAAAAUGCAUGCAUCGCAUGAUCUAGCGAAUCAUGGGUUUCCCUCAGAGUCAAGGUCGUCAGACGAGGAGAGGAGCACAACCCCACAUCAAAGCUCUCAAGAUAUUCUAGGGACUUUGCACGCAUUGUCCUCGCUGGUUUCAACCAAGACCAGAACAAGGAUUUCUCCCGGACAUCCCUCAACCUCAUGUUGCCCGAAUCACCCUUCCAUGAGUCACAAUAGACGACGUGAAAGUGCUUCAAAAGGUGUCGGCAGGUGCGCAGAACCGGAGACGACAUGUUCACCCAAGCCCCACCGACGACCACCCCUACUAGGAAACCCCUAAGUGACCACAGGACCCGUAGUCCUGGUUGUGUUCACCAUUCCUCAUGGACCAACACAGUGCCGCCAUCAACCACCUUUUUUAGACUAAAGCACGCUGAUAGAGCACAAAGAGGCACCGGAAGAGUUGGGGACUAGGCAAGCCUAUUCUUCCCACGUUAGAAUUUUGAUGAGGUAUGUGUGUUAACAUGCUUGGAAGGAUUGGUUUGAGGAAAAUACAUGGUUGAAAAUAGGGUAAAGCUCCGUGAGUCUUAGUUAUCCAAGUCCAGAAGAUUCUCCAUAGAAAGAAAAUCCAAAUAGGAAAAGAAUAAUUUCUGUCAGAAAACAAAAAAAAAUGGCCCAUACAGGUCUCGAACCUGUGACCUUCGCGUUAUUAGCACGACGCUCUAACCAGCUGAGCUAAUAGGCCUGUUGUGGUACGAAAUGAAAUAGCAUUUUAUUUGAUACAUUGAAUAAAUCUCAUGCUAGCAGCAAAGCAAAACACCCGCUCGACGCCCGCAAUGGCCGAUAAACUCCAAACGCGCGCGCUCUGACAUUUGAACUUGUUGGAUGCUAAAGUGUACAUUGGACAAUUUUGAUGCUAGCAGGAGCAAAAACACCCGCUCGUCUUGCUUAUACGCCGGCAAUGGCCGAUAAACUCCAAACGCGCGCGCUCUGACACUUGAACUUGUUCCCGCGUGCAGGGCGACCGGACGCUGGGCAACUACGUGACGGACCGGGGCUUCCCGGCGAACCUGGAGCCGCUCAUGUUCGGGCGCGCGCUGCGGGGCGUGGACGCGCUCACCCGCGCCGCCCUGGUGGUGAAGCAGGUGAUGCGGCAGCUCGUCACCUCGCUCCGCCGCAUCCACGACACCGGCAUCGUCCACCGCGACAUCAAGCCCUCCAACCUCGUGGUCACCCGCCGGGGCCAGGUCAAGCUCAUCGACUUCGGCGCCGCCACCGACCUGCGCAUUGGCAAGAACUACGUGCCCGACCGCACCCUGCUCGACCCGGACUACUGCCCGCCCGAGCUCUACGUGCUCCCCGAGGAGACCCCCACGCCGCCCGCCGAGCCCAUCGCCGCCAUCCUCUCCCCGAUCCUCUGGCAGCUCAACAGCCCCGACCUCUUCGACAUGUACUCAGCCGGGAUCGUGCUCAUGCAGAUGGCCACGCCGGCGCUCAGGUCGCCCUCGGGCCUCAAGAACUUCAACUCCGAGCUCAAGGCCGCCGGCUACGACCUCAACAGGUGGCGGGAGACCACGCGCCGGAGACCCGACCUGCAGAUCCUGGACCUCGACUCCGGCAGAGGCUGGGACCUGGCCACCAAGCUCAUCGCGCAGCGGGAGAAGGGGCGGCUCUCCGCCGCCGCCGCGCUCCGGCACCCCUAUUUCCUGCUUGGCGGAGAUCGGGCCGCCGCCGUCCUGUCAAAGCUGCAGCUCACCAAAUAGUAAUUGAUAUGUCUGGCUACAUAGAACAAGCGAUCAAACCCCUGCAUAUAGUAUCCAUAUAGAUGUCCAUCCCAUAAAUUCUGCCCUGAAUCCUGACAUGAGUGAGACGCAAGAUCACCAAUGGCAUUGGCAAUUUUGUUGUACAGUCAUGAUUCAUGAGAUCUCAAGGCAUCUGGCUGGUGUCAAUCAAUCAGUACAUUGUUUCGUGCGAGUUCAUAUGGACAGCGUGUGUGGUGCAGAGUUACAGAUGCUGGGCUAACUUAAUUUACUGCUGAUCGAGUGUGGACACUACCAAGAAAUCCUACUUCUGCUGGUCAGUUUCUCGAACCUACGUAUGCCGCCGAGCAGGCUCUUGCUGAUGCUCCCAGCCAAUGGAGGCCGUGCUCGUUCUGAAGCUCUAUUGACUGGCGGGCAGGAACAUCAGGUUUUGUCCUCGAAAGACUGUUUACUCAUAACUUCGUCACCUGGCCGGCAGUAUGGUUCGAACUUCUGCUGAAGAUCGGCCUGGUUCCCCCCCACCAUCUUGUCGAUCUCCUUCUUAUCUCUCAAGAAGAUGAAUGUCGGCGUGGCACGUACCUCGAAUUCCGUGACCAGUUCCUGACAAAAAAAAAACAUAUAUCGAAAUGACAUUUAGUUUGAGCAUUCGCUCAAAGCUGAAUUAGUAAUGAGCCGGUGGAACAUUUGUGUACCGGUAGUUCGUCUACGUCCACAGACACGAAAACAAGAUCGGAAUGCUUCAAAGAGAGUUCGGCGUACGUAGGAGCAGCGAUCCUACACGGGCCACACCAUACUGCGCUGAAUUUUACAACAAGCUGUGCAGUUGAAAAAUGUCAGCAUGGUUAAUCAAAACAAGUGCACGAAUUCCAAAUUGGAAAGUCACAUGCACCUAUGUAUCCUUGUGUCCAGAGUAUGAGUUGGGUUGUAAGCUACUUACUGUUUUAUUGGCGUCAGUUGCAUCUUCCACUUUCUUCUCCCAGCUCUUUAGAUCGGUUAUAAGAGUCACAUUCCCAGAGCUGUAGUCUAGGUGUUCCUCCUCAUCUACAGGGUUCUGCAAAGGGAAGCAUAACCAAAGAGCUCGAUUUACUAACAUAUAACUCGAUAAACGGCUUCCUUUAAUUGGGCCUUACUAUCAGUUGACCAACAAAAAAAAGCACUACGUAGCAUGGCAAACAAACACAAGCUAUGCAAUAAAGAUGCUAGUGCACGAUUCAGUUAUCAAAGUUGCCAGUUGUAAAUGAGAUGUAUGUGAGUAAAAACUACUCACGCUGCCGCAGCAUCCCAUUGGUUCGAGCAAAUCCGUCAGGAUGUCCGGACUCCUGGACUCUGGUAGACGAGGAGGAAAAAGAGAUAUAUUUUCAGUGCUGAUUUCACUAUUUGACUGGAUAAAAGCAAUACGCUAUGCCAUAACAUGAUACCAAUACAUCAAAUAUGAUUAACAUAGCUAGCUCUAGAUGGCGAAAUGGUGAAUAUAAAUAUGUACUACUCCCUCUAACUCUAAAGAAAUAUAAGAGAGUUUAGAUCACUAAGGGAGUACCUCUGUUCUUAAAUAUAAGAUGUUUUGACAGUUUAAAUUGAAGUGCUAAAACUUCCUAUAUUUAGGAACAGAGGGUGUACAUACAAAUGGUGAAUAGCACUUCAAUUCUUCAAAACAAUGGCCAGAGACUGCAGAAAUAUGAACAAGAACAGACCAGCCAAAAACGUGCUGUUUGUUUUAGAUAGAAAAAUUGAAACAGAUUUGAUGCCCAAGUCACAGCCACGGCAAAUCCAAUAGAACCAAGAAGUUUGUCUGCACGAUGGCGAAUCUUGCUCAACAUAUUUGCCUGAAUCCGCACGCAACAGUUUCAGACGAUCCUAGGGUGUCGAUUUUUUUUGCCCAAAGGAGAUGCAUUCAUUAAAUUGGAGGAGACCUCCAACAACAAUAUGACGGUUUGAACGCCAAGGAAAAAACAUACGAUUACCACAUCGCUUAGAUGUAUAUUGUAGAUUUAGGAAAUGCCAUGAUAUGGAACCGGCAAAUAGCUUUCGGCAGCCAUGCAUGCAGCCUGGUUAUUACUCUAUUACAUUGUUGAGAGCAGAACGAAAUGCACAUAUACAUGCAUACCUUGCGCAGGACCAAGAAGCCUAUGUUCCUCCUCCUGAUGAUGAUGGGGGAUCCAACGGAAGAUUCAGAUUUCCCCGCGUUGGACGCCUGCCGGCCGUCGUCCACGGCAAGCCCACCCCGGCGGGCGGCGGGGGCUCGGAGAGAGGCGGGUGGCGCCGGGGCGGAACGGCCCUUGCCGUUAAUAGCAGCCGCUCAAACCGUCGAAACCGGAGGGCGUGGUGACAGGGGAUCUGCAAAUAGGCCGAGGGAGGGAGCGGCUGGGAACGGGGUUCUGGGAAGGGAAGACGUACGCGCGCGCGCGCGCGGGAGAGGGAGGGCGAGAAAGAAAAGAGGCGACCGACCCCACUCCCUCGUCCAAAAUUAGUUUGGUGAUUUAGGCCUGCGGAAUGGACCAAACUGGACGGCGACGUGCACGCGAGCACGGCCGUUCUGCCGGCGCAGCACAGCACAGCACAGCGCCAAGACGUGACAAGGUAAGGCACACGCCGGUGCUAGCGCCGAUCAGCGGUGGCAGCACAGCCCAGUAUUUCGGGUGGCGGUGGCCCUCCUGGCUCUGCUGCAUACCGUGGCGGCCAUGGUUGCUGCUGCGCCUUGUCCACACUCUUAUUUGCCGGCUUGAGUUUCUAUAUGAUUUUUUUUAAUAAUCAACAGAUGCAAGGUGCUUACAGAAACAAGCCGUUUUCCACUUUAAGCACUGGUGAUUAAGCAUAAGUUGAUUAUUUUUCAAACACCUACCUAUAUAAGCACUCAAAACAUCUAAAAAUAAAGGCGCACGUGCCGCUGCUUACGAUUUCUGAGGAAAUCUGUCGUCUUCACCUACUUAUCAUGGCUAGAGACUCGAAGCUCAUGACAAAGUAUGGAAAACUCUACAGAAUACAGUAGAGAGCAAUGCAGAAAAGGACGGGAUAGAGUGGAGAACAUUACCGCUUUUACUUUAUCUGACUGAUGGACGGCAGCUAAGAUUAUACUCCGUCUGAUUUCAUUUACUUUGCAUAUUAGCUUUGUCUUAAAUUAAAGCUAGUAACUUAUAAACAAUUACUAACACCUACAAUAUCUAAUCAAUACUAGUAACAUCAGAUUCAUCAUUGAAUGAAUGGCCAAAGUUUACAAAGUUUGACCUAGGGCAAAGCUAAUAUGCAGAGCCAACGCGUUUUGCAGCGAGCUUCUGGUAUAUUGCUAGUUGCAACUACCCUUUGAUGCUUUAGCUGCGAAGAACAACCAAACUGAACAUCCAUACAUACGAAAACAUGACCUAAAACCAAAAGAAGAUAAAUCUGGACAAGGUCAUUAAGCAAACAUGUUUUAAUGAACAUUUACCAAAUAACACCAACACUGAUGAAGGUUAACCCAACAAGCAUAGGUGAAUAGGCUGAUAGGCAUGCAUGUCUGCCGAUACUAGUGGCAAUUGAUGAUAGGACCGACGCCGAAUGCAAUUUACAAUCCUUGAGGAUUGGAUUACACACAACCAGCAACAAAUCGAAGAAACAAUGGCCCAUAAAUAUUUUUCUUGAAGCGACAUUUCAGUUGUCCACGAUGCAGGUCUUCAACCCAUGGCGUACUUCUGCGUCCAGCUGCGGGCU